ACUCUGCGCAACCAGGAAGUUCCUGAGCCAGCAGCUACCCACCCACCCACAGGCUCCUGUUCAAAGUUUAGAGUGCUGGUGAAGGCAGCUCACAGCUGGGAGAAGGCUUCCCUGCAGAGAAGGAAGCCCCCCUCCCCCUUCCAGAAGGCAGGGCAGGUUGGGACCUGCAGGAGACUCUGAGCCAGGGACUUGCUUCUCCUUGUGUGGUUUUAUUGCCACUCCCCUUCCACCUGGCCACAUGGCUCCCUCUUCGGCAGAGCGACCAGAGUAUUCGACAGUCACUUUCAGCUCUUGCCUGCUGCUGCAAUGGAGUUUAGCAUCCAUCGUCCCUGUCCUGCUCACGGUUCUCCUGCUCCUUCUCUGCAUCCCCUUUAAAAGGAAAAACCGAAGUUUUUCCACCAGAACCACUGAGGGACGCGUCGACUCCUCCAAGCUCAUCAGAAUGACUCGGCUAGGAGACGAGUCAGCCAGCAGUCCGGCAGGGAAGCAACCAAAGGCUGGAGCAGCCGGGCAAGAAGGCAGCUCUUUGCCCAGCGACCCGGGAGCACCAGCCCAAAGGCAGAUAAAUGGCUUCACUGGAAACUCCCAUCCUCAGCCAGGAGGCUCCAGCCACACAAAGGAUUUGGACUCCUCUUCAGCAAACCAUCGAGGGGAAAGAGAAUCCAGAGCAUCAGCCCUAGGUGUCUUGGGAAGCCGCUCCCCAGCUGCUUCUCAGAAAAACUCAACUGCCCCAGACUCUUUGCAGCUCCGGGAGCUCCCAGUGGCUCCACGGAAUGUGCAAGUAAUGACGGCAGAGCAGCUUAGUUCCAGGCAGGACGCACAUGGUUCAAUCUACGAAAGCAUCAGGGAUAAAGGAAUCACUUGCUACCGAGGGAGUUUGUACGAACUAAGUGCUGGCACUGCAGAAGGCCCUAAUAUGAACUCAGGCCAUGCUACUGCAGGGGGUGAGGAGAGUGAGCCGGGGGAAACACUGCCACGACGCACUAGCAAACAGGAGCAGCUUGUGGCUGAUGGUUUCAGUGGGGAGCCCAGGGAGUCACCUCAGGAGUGGCAGGAACUUGCCUUGGAGGAAGAUGCCGUGAACGAGUCCUUGACUGAAAGGGAGAAGCAGCUACGGGCGAUGUACGCGCGAGUGUGUAAGAAAUCCAGGUCCCCCGGGCACACACCACCUGCAAGCCCAGACGCGUCCACAGAGCCGGAAGAGGAGGAGCCUCCGCCUCUACCAGAAAAGCACUUGGAUGUGAUCUAUGAAACCCUGGGGAGCCUGGGGUCUGAGACGCAGGACAGUGAGAUGUCAACCAUCAUAGCCCAGCCAGAAGAAUGAGGAGCCCCAACUUCCGGGGAAGGCUACAUUGAGUGCAGAGAGAACUCCAACCCUGACUGGCCCUGCCGGGAGAUGCAGACGUUUCCUGGCCUUUUGUGGAGGGACGCCAUGAAGCCACGCCUGACACUAAAGCAUCCCCAGCUCCCGCCCCUAUCCUGUUAAUGGUAUUACCCGGAUACACCAAGGACUUCCUUAGAGAUCUCAGUUAGGAACGUUCCGCUGCCACUGAUGUCGCAGUGUCGACAGCUCCAUCAAAGGUGCUAGAACAGCAUGUCUUACCCGCAGCAGCUGUUAAAGAAACUGAUACCAAUCGUGUUUGAGCAUGGAGCGCGACAUGACAGGCUCUGAGAGUUACACGGAGACUAAGGGAGUGAUAGAUCUCCACCAGUAUCCUCCUGAGACCUACACACUGGGAAGGGAAGUCUGCACUUUUGGAGACGCUGUUGUACAGAAACUGCCAGAACCCUCCCUCUCACCCAACUGUUACUCCAGGGUUUGAAAGCCAGCGCUGUACACCAGCGUGGUACAAUAGCUGUGCACUCAGCUGUGAUGAAGUCUUGGCUGUUAACUGAAUGCCCUUGAGGAGGCAUUCCCUGGCUGGGUGCAGCAAGCUUUCAGAAAUGAAGAGCAUGUCUUGGAAGUCCCCAGGGGAAAGCAGAACGAGCAGGGUGAUUUCAGUACAUUAUGCAGGCAGGAGCAAAUCAGUCUAGGUCACCAUGUCCCACAGGGCUGCUAAGAGGUGGCUUUUGGAAACUCAGGUCUAAUUCUGUAGGAGCCCAGAUGUUUAUCAGACCAAACAGUAACUUACCAAAUUUCUCUUUCUCCAGCACUUGGUCUGGGAAUUAAUAGCCCUGCUGUGAUCUGUACUUCAGGGCCUUCUGAUAGUAAUCUGUAGCCUUAUCUCAGUUCCCCCCUGAAUCUGCUCUCUGAUACUGGCAUAAAUCCAUUGGCUUCAGUAGUGUUACUGCUGAAUUACACUAACAGAGGAGAAUUGGACCCAGUAAUCUACUGUCAGCAUGUCCCAGCCUGGCUUACCUAUUUUGAGUACGUCAUGACUACAGAAGCUGAUGCCUUGUGACCGUUAGUAUGAUCACAGUAACUUUGUCAAAGUGCCAGUGGGGACGUUGUUCAGAGCUGCAUCUGAUAGUGUUUGGUGCAAGUGAAAGGGCCAUCCCUUCUCGUUAUCAACCCGGUUAUUCAGAGUUAAGACAAACAAAUAUCUGAGCCAAACCUCCGAAAAGCAUUUAGCGGGAAAUGGCUGGGGGUUGUGCCAGGGAAUUCUGCCCUCCCCUCAUUAGCUGUCCUGAAAAUAAACCCAACAGAGGUGAGUGUGCUCAUAUUGUAAGGAGGAAUCAAGAUCAAGACCCAUCUGAAGUCUGUCUCCCACCCACAAGAACUGGCAAAUAACAUUUUACAGGGAAUCUUAAAGCUUGGCUACCCAGCAAAGAGCUCACACAACCACCUCUUAAACAAAAAUUUCCAUCACUCUGCUCUGCCUGGGGCUAUGAACAUCCACAGGAUGUUCAACCCUAACGACCAGCAACAGCCGAAAUGUCGCUACUUGCUGAGGGAGCUGUCACGGGCCACAGCAGGAGCUGUGUCUGCGGUAGCUGGUGCAGGACCCGAGCUGUAAAAUCCUGUGGAAGUUCAUGCUCCUCAGCUAAGCAAAACGGUUCCCUUUUCCUUUAAAUGGCUGAUUGUGCAAUCAGUGAUCAAAGGACGGAUAAAGGCCCACGAGGGAUACUUUUCUCACUGGGGAUUGAGGGUUGAGACCCAUUCUCUCUUCUUUCACGUUCCUAUACUGUGCCCAUCGCUGUGGUAUCUGAGCACAGGACAUAAUUGGAACAGUAGGCAACUGGGAAUAAAUAGGGAUGAAUAUUAUUGUUUAUUGUUUGUAUUGCAGCAGUAUUCAGGCCCCAUUGUGCCCGACACUGCACAAACAUCUAGGAAACCUUUGUCCUGGCACUGAAGAUCUUACAGUCUAAUUACAUCUAACGAAGGCAGGUCUAAUUCAUGCAAAGACCUGUGGAAACAAUAGCCACAGCAGCUGGACCAAAGUGUGGGACAAAUUCAGCUAGGUGCAGAGCUUAAUACUGAGUGCCAGAGCUGCGGGCUGCUAGGAGAUCUAGCCCUGUCCUCUUCUGCCUCUUCCAAGGCCCUUCGGCUAGGCCCUACGUGCCCCUACACAUCCACGAAGGUACAGGGUGCCUAGACGCCAGCCUUAGGCACUUACGUCCCAGUUUUAG